AAACCGGCUUUAGUUCGUAGUCGUUGUUUGUUCGGUAUGGACGUGUUACGCUUGUCCUCGUGUGUGUUUUUAUUGAUUUAAGUGUUUCAGACGUAACAUAGUGGCAUACCGGAACCCCAACUAUCCCACAAUUACGGGGAACCAUAGGGGACGUCGGUCUUUUUUGGGGGGCGGGGUUGAAGGUGCCACCCCCGGGGGAGUCGAACACUAGACAAUUAGAAUGACGAGGGUGUACUCAAACAUAUCCAUUGUGGCCUCCUCCUGCAAGUUUUGGUGCUGAUUAAGAAACGCUGAGGUGCUUGUUGAUAUCUAACUAAUACGAUUUGGUCAACUACCCAUGACGGACAAGGAAUGGACUCCCAGCACCUAAGGUUGUGGAAGAAGGAAACGCCGAGAAAGUCUCUCAUCUACGUAUAUUUGAUACGGUAUGGUCAGCUAUCCACGAUAGACAAGGGACGGACACGCAGCGCCUAAUGUUUGGAAGAAAGAGGCAUAGCUUCUUCUGCCGUGGCUCAUCCAUUUAGAUCUCAUGGUUGGUUGCUCUGGCGUGAAAGCAAAGUAUCAGGGAGUUGCUCUGUGGUACGACAUUAUUGGCCAUUUAUCCGUGAUGUUGCAGAAGAAGGUGAGAUGGAGCGCUUGGUCAUUGCAUGAUUGGGGAUCGCAGGUAAGGUAAGGAAAGGGUUCAUGAUGCUGGCAGACUUAUCUUCCCCAGACGAACCUGUCAUCAUCCUUUAUGAAUUUCUAGUUAUGAGCAUUGCAUCUCUCCGUAGAGGGAGUCGAGUUUGU